ACAUGCCAAAUCCAAUGUGCGGAUCAUGAAUACAGAUGAUCCGCUGUGGCGACCCCUAAUUGGAGAAGCCGAAAGAAAGUUUAUUCACUCAUCAGACUAAUAUCUACAUUUACUGAACAUAUUAAAGUGAGUGUUGUUCAUGUGUAAAUGAGAGCUCUGGAAUGAGAAAGUGAGCGACUCUAUCCUUCUGUCUUUGUAGCUGUGUGCCAUUGGGGUCAUUUGGUGUUUCUGUGGUGAUGUACAGUAGAGUGGGUUUUCUUUUCUUUUACUGUUUUAAAGGGAUUUUCUGCUUUGUAAUUUUAUUGUGUUUGUUUACCAGUGACUCAUGUUUCUUCUGUUCUAAAACCUUGUUAGAUUUUAUUCAUUUAUUUAUUUAUUUAUUUAUUUAUUUAUUUAUUUAUUUAUUUAUUUAUUUAUUUAUAUAUUCCAUGUGUUUAAAGCUUAGACAGAACAUUUUAUUAAAUAUUACAGUAUAACAGUUUUAACCACCAUGCUGCUUUCUUGGCUCUUUUGCUGUCAUGAGGUGAACAAGUUCCAGCGCAAAUUCAGCACUUUACCUGUGUUUAUUUGUGUGCAAUAUAUCUAGUACACACUGCUUCUAUGUAGAAUUGGCAAAAGAAACCUAGAGGAUAUUAUGCUGAAGAAGCUAUGAGCAGUAAGCCUUCAGUUCUCAGCAUUGCAUGAUGCUAGUGACCAGUGUAGUGGAUAUCAAAAAUGGCAUGUUGGCAUUGAGGGGCAGUUGCCAGUACCUUUUGCACAGGGCCAGGAUGGUAAUGAAUCAGGCCUGAUAUGAUCCACUUCAGCAAGUCAUCAAUUGAUUCCCCUUGUUAACUUCGCACCAGAUGGUAGAUCUUAUAACAAACCUUUUCAAUGUGUUCUUCAUUGUUUGUUAAAACACUCCACCAGGCUGUCAGCCUUCAGAUGGUAUGGGCUGGUUGUGAUGCUUAGCUGGUACCUGUCCCUAGUGAAACAAACAGAUAAACAUUAGUGAAACAAACCGAAAAAGCUUGGGCUGAUUUUUUGUGUGCUCAGCCCUGCUGGUACACAAUGCUGGUGUCUAAAAUGUUGCACAUGUGUAGAAUUAUUUUUGUUCCACAUCAUAUAAUGAAGGCCACUGAUAUGAAAAUUAAAAUAGUGACUGCUAUGAGACUUCUCUUCUUUAUACUUUCCUAAUAUGCUCUAAAAUCCUAUAGUGAGAUCACACAGUAAGAAAACCUGGACUAUGAAACAGGGAACACAAAUGGCUUUAAGAAUCGACAUUAAACUAAAUGUCACUUUGUGGAAUGGAAAUGAAUGAUUAUUUAACAAAACUUAUAGAAACGUAAAUAAAAUAAACCUGUGAGGAAUACAAACAUGUGAGGAAAAUGACAAAUGACAAGACAAGAUGGAAGACAUAAAAUGAAUCAAUACAAGGACACACAUUGCUAAACAAAUACGAAAAAAAAAAAAUGAAUUAAAUAAAACGUAUACUAACUUACUACACACGUGAUUGCUACAGCCUGAAAAAGGGUCACCUUUUAACUUUUUCAUUUGAAAUAAUUAAAGAAUUUUUAGCAGAAUAUUCUAACCAUAAAUAUUGUAUAUUGCAUUUUAUUUAUUUACUCAUUUUUAUAGUAAUAAGUCAGCAGUUUAUUGGUUAUUGGUUUAUUGCAGUAAAUUCAUUAAAGUGUGGAGGGUCUCUUAAAUGUUUUAUUAUUUAUGUAAUAGGUAAAAGGUACUCACCUUAAAGAAGGACACAAAUAAAACAGGAAAAAUGAACUUUAUUAUAAUAAACACACAGAUGUACAUACACACCAAACAAAACAGUUCCUCUUUUUUAAAUAUAAAUGUUACAGAAGGCAUGAACACAUUAUAAUAUCAAUAUUUGAAAUAAAUCUUAAUCACAGUUGGAAUAUUGUGCACUGUGUGUGUGUGUGUGUGUGUGUGUGUGUGUGUGUGUGUGUGUGUGUGUGUGUGUGUGUUUGAUGGUUUGACUGUGUGUUUGCUCACUUUCCUCACCCACAACAAUUAUUCUUAAAAAAGAGGAAACUUUAUUGUGUGCAGGGCAAAAUCAGUGAAAGGUCUUUACCACACACUUCCUCAAAUCUCAUGCAUUCCUUCAUUCUCUGUUAACCUGCAUCAUUACGGAUGCAGCAUGAUAUGAAAAUGUCCAUGAUGAAGGGAUGAGAGACCCUGAUGAUGUCCUUUACUGUUUUUAUUAUCUGCUUCUUUUGAGUCUUAAGAUCUGAGAUGGCACAAUUCAGGAUGCUCUGCAGAAUGUCGUUAGGUGGUGAGAGCUGAGCCAUGCUCAGGUUUCGUAGAAAAUAGAGAUGCUUUAAUGGAUGUGGUGUUGAGAGACAAUUUGAGUUUCUCUGUCAGGUGGACAUCAAGGAAUAUGGUGUUAUUAAUCUCCACAGAGGAGCUGUGGAUGUGCAAAGGUGAGUGGAUGCUCCAUGUUUAUCUUUGUUUAGAUCACAUUUUUACACCAUAAAUGAGGUGUUCAGGCCCAAUAUGCUCAGCCUCCUAAUCAGGUGCUGAGGUACUAUUGGUGUUCAAUGCUAAGAUGAAUGUUAAACACUAUUUAAUUGUAAAGGUUCUUAUUGUCCAGGUAGGUGAGAGCCAGAUGAAGUGUGGUGGACACAAGAUGUUUUGUGUCUUUUUGUAAUUUAUUUUCUAUUUAUUUGAUUUUAUAUAGAUUAAGCAAUGCUCUCCUUUAAAAUGGCAUCCCCACUUUGUCUGAUCUUUCUCCUAAUGAUCUCUGGAGCUCUUGGGAAUCAGUGGAGUGUGACAUACAGCCAGGAAAAUCUUUGUGCUGUAAAAGGAUCUACAGUGGUUAUGAAUGCCACUUACACACAUCCAACAAUUGUUACUGUGACAAACAGGUUCUGGGUAAUAGACACAGAUUCAGGGACAGAGCUGACUGAUCUGCAUAAGGAACCAGGUUACUCAGGCAGAGUGGAGUAUUUAGGAGAUGAACCAAAUCACAUUUCACUAAGUGAUGUGAAUAAAUCAGAUGAACACGUGUACUGCUUCAGAAUCGUAGGAGACAAAGGAGGAUACACAGGGCAUCCAGGAGUUGUACUCAAUGUUACAGAUCUUCAGGUGAUCAUUCCUGCAGAAGUAACAGAGGGAGAAUCAGUGGUUCUGACCUGUAAAACCACCUGCAGUCUGACUGACCCAACAUUCAUCUGGUACAAAAACAGACAUGAUUUAACCACAAACAGCACAGAGAGCAACAAACUCCACCUGCAGAGGGUCAGCAGUGAGGAUGCAGGCAGUUAUAACUGUGCUGUAAGAGGAUCUGAACAUCUCCCAUCUCCUGCUGAAUACCUCAGUGUCAGAUAUUCUCCAAAAAAACUUUCAGUGUCCAUUAGUCCCUCUGGUGAGAUUGUGGAGGGAAGUUCAGCGACUCUGACCUGCAGCAGUGAUGCAAACCCACCUGCGACCUGCGAAUGGUAUAAAGAAACAAAACUAGUAAGAAAAGUACCCACAUACACCAUUGCAAAUGUCAGCUCUGAGGACAGUGGCGAGUACAAGUGCAAGUGCCGUAAUAAAGUCGGACAUCAGUACUCCAGCCGUCUAACUCUGAAUGUUCUGUCUCCAUCACACGGAGUCUCAAUGUCCAUCAGCAUCUCUUCCAACAUACUAGAGGGCAGUUCAGUGACUCUGACCUGCGGCAGUGAUGCAAACCCACCUGUGGAGACCUAUAAAUGGUUUAAGGAGAAACAAUCAUCACCUGUAGGAUCAGGACAGAGUUACAGAGCUCUACAGAAUGUGCAGUACUACUGCAAGGUUCUGAAUAAACUGGGCUCUGUGAGAUCCGCUACAGUGUCCAUCACUAUAAAUGGUGAGAUGGCUUUGUAAUUGUGUAUGUGGCUGUUGGACUUGGACUUUUUGGGCUUGGAGCUCUUCUCUCUACCCUCCUCUGGCUCAGAUGGAACAGACAGAAGAAAAAGGCAGAUGAAGGUGAUCAUCAGAACAUUGGGCUGAGUGCUAAAG